UAAUACGUAGGGUGCAAGCGUUAAUCGGAAUUACUGGGCGUAAAGCGUGCGCAGGCGGUUUUGUAAGACAGGCGUGAAAUCCCCGGGCUCAACCUGGGAACUGCGCUUGUGACUGCAAGACUAGAGUGUGUCAGAGGGAGGUGGAAUUCCGCGUGUAGCAGUGAAAUGCGUAGAGAUGCGGAGGAACAUCGAUGGCGAAGGCAGCCUCCUGGGAUAACACUGGCGCUCAUGCACGAAAGCGUGGGGAGCAAACAGGAUUAGAUACCCUGGUAGCCCACGCCCUAAACGAUGUCAACUAGUUGUCGGGGAUUCGUUUCCUUGGUAACGCAGCUAACGCGUGAAGUUGACCGCCUGGGGAGUACGGCCGCAAGGUUAAAACUCAAAGGAAUUGACGGGGACCCGCACAAGCGGUGGAUGAUGUGGAUUAAUUCGAUGCAACGCGAAAAACCUUACCUACGCUUGACAUGUCAGGAACCCCGGAGAGAUCUGGGGGUGCCCGAAAGGGAG
rnacentral:rRNA from 1 species